rnacentral:tmRNA from 1 species
GGGGAUGACAGGCUUCGACGGAGGAGGCUGAUCCCGGGUUGCGAGCCGAGAGGCGCCGACCUCGUAAAAUCAGUGCAAACAACAAGUGCCAAUCGCACUUCCUAUGCUGCUAUGCCCCUCGCUGCAUAAGUGAGGAGUACCAGCGCCUGGCUCCAACUGUGAGCCACGUCUGCCUGCCCCGCUCUCUGACCGGAGGUAGAGCAGGCGUGAUAAAGUCAGAGUGCCGCAUGCGACGCUGCUAAGCGUGCGAAAGAGGGGCUUUCGGGUCCCAGCAGCUGGCUGGUCGUGUCCUUUGCCUGUCGUGGACCGCCCAGCGACAAAAACGUCAGGCUACGCUCGUAGAGACCUGUGGGUCUAAUCUUUCGGACGCGGGUUCGAUUCCCGCCAUCUCCACUG